rnacentral:rRNA from 1 species
AGCGAACGCUGGCGGCAGGCCUAACACAUGCAAGUCGAACGGAUCCUUCGGGAUUAGUGGCGGACGGGUGAGUAACACGUGGGAACGUGCCCUUUGGUUCGGAACAACUCAGGGAAACUUGAGCUAAUACCGGAUGUGCCCUUCGGGGGAAAGAUUUAUCGCCAUUGGAGCGGCCCGCGUCUGAUUAGCUAGUUGGUGAGGUAACGGCCCACCAAGGCGACGAUCAGUAGCUGGUCUGAGAGGAUGAUCAGCCACACUGGGACUGAGACACGGCCCAGACUCCUACGGGAGGCAGCAGUGGGGAAUCUUGCGCAAUGGGCGAAGGCCUGACGCAGCCAUGCCGCGUGAAUGAUGAAGGCCUUAGGAUUGUAAAAUUCUUUCAGCGGGGACGAUAAUGACGGUACCCGCAGAAGAAGCUCCGGCUAACUUCGUG